UUAAUUUAUUUUUUUUUUAUUUUUUACCCUUCUACCUUGGGAAAAUGGAAUAAUGACGACCACCAGUUCAAAGUCUGAUUCCAUCCUCACUGAAGUGGGGCGGCUGCUGAGUGAGAGAUGAUGCUUCAGCAAACGUUGAUUGUAGUAUUCAUACUGUUAUUAGUGGAAGGCUUGGAUAAUGAACGACGAAUAAAACAGAAAGAACGUGAGUUGCGAAAUGUAAUAAAACUUGGACCAAGUACACCAGUAUCUCAAGUGAAGAAUUGGUUAUCCAUAAAUCAAAAUGGAACAACAAUAAAAGUACCAGCAAUGCUGUAUGGAACUGCGUACAAACGUCAUUCAACGGCAGAUGUAGUUGAGCGAGCGUUGCGUGCGGGUUUUUUUGGUAUUGAUACCGCAACCGCAGAGGGUAGUCGAUAUAAUGAUUCAGGUGUUGGUGAAGCGUUACGACGCGUGGUAAAAUCAACACAGCGUAAUCAAUUAUUUUUGCAAUUAAAAAUUCAUCACGUGACUCAUAAAGAUGA
rnacentral:ribozyme from 14 species